rnacentral:rRNA from 1 species
GGUCGGAUUAGCUAGUUGGUGGGGUAAAGGCCUACCAAGGCGACGAUCCGUAACUGGUCUGAGAGGAUGAUCAUUCACACUGGAACUGAGACACGGUCCAGACUCCUACGGGAGGCAGCAGUGGGGAAUAUUGGACAAUGGGCGAAAGCCUGAUCCAGCCAUGCCGCGUGUGUGAAGAAGGUCUUCGGAUUGUAAAGCACUUUAAGUUGGGAGGAAGGGCAGUAAGUUAAUACCUUGCUGUUUUGACGUUACCAACAGAAUAAGCACCGGCUAACUUCGUGCCAGCAGCCGCGGUAAUACGAAGGGUGCAAGCGUUAAUCGGAAUUACUGGGCGUAAAGCGCGCGUAGGUGGUUCAGCAAGUUGGAUGUGAAAUCCCCGGGCUCAACCUGGGAACUGCAUCCAAAACUACUGAGCUAGAGUACGGUAGAGGGUGGUGGAAUUUCC